rnacentral:miRNA from 1 species
UUAUUUUGUGUGUGUUGGUGUUAUGUACUCAGGUGAAUAUGAUGUGUGUGAUCACAAACAUCAUAUUCACCUGAGUACAUAACACCAACACAACAA